rnacentral:pre_miRNA from 1 species
UUUUUAUUAGACGUUGACCGUCAUGUGUUGCGCUUUUAUUGGACGCUGACGUUAAUUAGGUGCACGAAAUUAAUGUCUAAUAAAAGCAUGACACGUGGCGGUCAACGUUC